AGAGUUUGAUCCUGGCUCAGGAUGAACGCUAGCUACAGGCUUAACACAUGCAAGUCGAGGGGCAGCAUGAACUUAGCUUGCUAAGUUUGAUGGCGACCGGCGCACGGGUGAGUAACACGUAUCCAACCUUCCGUUUACUCAGGGAUAGCCUUUCGAAAGAAAGAUUAAUACCUGAUAGUAUGGUGAGAUUGCAUGAUAGCACCAUUAAAGAUUUAUUGGUAAACGAUGGGGAUGCGUUCCAUUAGGUAGUAGGCGGGGUAACGGCCCACCUAGCCGACGAUGGAUAGGGGUUCUGAGAGGAAGGUCCCCCACAUUGGAACUGAGACACGGUCCAAACUCCUACGGGAGGCAGCAGUGAGGAAUAUUGGUCAAUGGGCGAGAGCCUGAACCAGCCAAGUAGCGUGAAGGAUGAAGGUCCUACGGAUUGUAAACUUCUUUUAUACGGGAAUAAAGUAUCCUACGUGUAGGAUUUUGUAUGUACCGUAUGAAUAAGCAUCGGCUAACUCCGUGCCAGCAGCCGCGGUAAUACGGAGGAUGCGAGCGUUAUCCGGAUUUAUUGGGUUUAAAGGGAGCGCAGACGGGAGAUUAAGUCAGUUGUGAAAGUUUGCGGCUCAACCGUAAAAUUGCAGUUGAUACUGGUUUCCUUGAGUGCAGUUGAGGCAGGCGGAAUUCGUGGUGUAGCGGUGAAAUGCUUAGAUAUCACGAAGAACCCCGAUUGCGAAGGCAGCUUGCUAAACUGUAACUGACGUUCAUGCUCGAAAGUGUGGGUAUCAAACAGGAUUAGAUACCCUGGUAGUCCACACGGUAAACGAUGGAUACUCGCUGUUGGCGAUAUACUGUCAGCGGCCAAGCGAAAGCAUUAAGUAUCCCACCUGGGGAGUACGCCGGCAACGGUGAAACUCAAAUGAAUUGACGGAAGGGC
rnacentral:rRNA from 1 species